UAAAUAGUAGCCUUAAAUUAGUGCUUUUUACAAGUUUUCGAUAAUUCCCAUUAAAUCGUUUGGAUAUUUUGAGGCUCAGAUGUGUAAAUGAGGGGCAAAAGAGACAAUGCACCCGCCAUGGCUGCAGACCCUCGGUUUGCACUACCAACAACAAAGUAGGCCUUACCGGGUCGCCCCGCCAAGAUACGGGUCCCCGCUCCAUUUGCCCAAUAAUGAACUCUAGACAAUUAUUUAAUAUCAUCACAGCCUCUCAUCCUUUACAAUAAUAGCCAUAAUGUUGUUGUGUUGAUGAUGAUGAUGAUGAAAACGAGGAGAUGAUGAAGCAAAAGGGUUAGAUCUUAAAACCUAAAC